rnacentral:rRNA from 1 species
UACGUAGGUGACAAGCGUUGUCCGGAUUUACUGGGCGUAAAGAGCGCGCAGGCGGUCGAUCAAGUCGAGUGUGAAAGCCCCCGGCUCAACUGGGGAGGGUCAUUCGAUACUGAUCGACUCGAAGGCAGGAGAGGGUAGUGGAAUUCCCGGUGUAGUGGUGAAAUGCGUAGAUAUCGGGAGGAACACCUGUGGCGAAAGCGGCGCACUGGACCACAACUGACGCUGAGGCGCGAAAGCUAGGGGAGCAAACGGG